CGCACAUUGCGCCCCUUGGUAUUCCAUGGGGCAUGCCUGUUCGAGCGUCAUUUGUACUCUCAAGCUCUGCUUGGUGUUGGGUGCUGUCUAGCUACUAGACUCGCCUUAAAAGAAUUGGCAGCCAGUGUAUUGGUCUUUUGCGCAGCACAAUUUGCGCUUUAACCAGCUAUUUCUGGCAUCCAGAAGCCUUUUACAACGCUUGACCUCGGAUCAGGUAGGGAUACCCGCUGAACUUAA
rnacentral:misc_RNA from 1 species